GUACUUUAUAAACUUGCGAAAGCUGCUUCACGUUGUUUAAUAAUUUGGGCUACGUGUUUUUUAUGAUCAAAUCAGUGGACUUUUGAUUAUUGUCCAAAAUGGCCCAAAUUAUUUAGGGUUGUUCAAUUUUAGCGGACGGAGUUGGAGAGUCAGCCGUCGUGGUUCUUCACAUCUCACCGACGACGAACGGCGAUCGUCUUUGUAACGGCACUUGGAAACAUUAAUCCAAGCAUUAACUUUUCUGCGCCACUCCUCCCACUCUCUUGAAUUAAAUUGGCCAUAGCAUUCUCUAAAGUAAUCCCCUGAAGCUUCAACUAUAAAUGGCUUUGUUGCUUGGGAUAAACAGUGGCGAGUUCAUCUGUUUUUCUUGCCGAUUUAAAAGCUGGAUGCUAUUCAAACACCGCCGAGGUCCCUCUCCUCAGAUUAAAAGAGGCAAGAAAUGUUAAGAAAGGUGGUCUCCAUAAAGAGAAUGUGACUCCGGCUAGCCACCACCGUGUUUUGUUAGCUCUUUCUACUCAACCUUUUGAUAGUCCGCUCUUAUUAUAUGUUUCUAAAACAGUCAAACUGUCAACGAGAAGGUACCUAUUCUUAUUCCUAAUUUUUUGUUUUUGGAUUUAACGUUAAACUAAGUCGUCACUAACCAUAAUUUAUUUACUCUGUUUUUUUUUUUCAGUUGAUUUUGUUUUUUUUGAAUAUUUUUUUCAGUUGAUUUUGAUUCAUGUUCAAUAGCUUAAUACUUUCAAAAAUCUAUUGAGGGAAGGAGUGAUGUAUGGGCUUCGUGGUGUUGAUGCCGCUGGAAGCACGUUUCACUGACCACACGAGCUUUGUUGAGGUCACGGAACAAGUGACCAUCCCAGCAGAGAAGUUUCGUUUUCAAAAGUAUGAUCAACUCAUGGCUUUGGCUAACACCAACGUAGAUUUGUCCGGUUUGUAUAACAAUUUUGAACUCAUACUUUAACCGUAUAGUAGUAUCAGCACUGUUUUCAAUAAUGAAAAUCAUUCCAUUCAUCAUGUGAUGAUAACAAUAAUGGAAAUAUGAGACUAAACCUGUGAUUCAAUUUCAUAUAAUGGAAAUAUUCCAGAACAAACUUAGGAUGAAUUGGAUGACUUCAAUGCUUGAAGAAAAUCUGCAACUCUGGAGAUGUAAAUGAAUGUAAAUCGAUGGAAGCUAAAAUCAGAAAACAAAAACUUGAUUUUGUGAAGCCUGCUCUAGGGCUUAGCUUAUUAUACGUUUUGUGUUCUGUAAAUAUUAUAUAAUUUUGGGGAUCUCGGAUGUUUUGUGGUUGUAAUUCAUGCCAUCAUUGAGAAGAGAAAAGUACACUCAUAUGGUUAUCAUAUGGUUAUUGAUUUUGUGCUGACUAAUAGAUUCCCGGUUAAAGGUGUAAUCAGAUUUAUCAGGAUGCCAUGAUGUGUAUCGUUCCAUAGGUACCUGCACGGCCUGAACUGCAGUUUUUUGGAGUUAAUGGUUCGUGACCCUCCAGUUUAUUAGGUUUCAGAUUGUCCCCCGGUGACCAGGAGAUAGUUGAUAUAAGAAGCUAUAUCAGGCAAUUUCAUUGAGUUUUUUUUUCUUGAAUUAUAUAGUUGGAUGUGUAACUGAUGAUUUUUGCAACUGUUUGUAUAAUUCAAGACUAGAUCAUGAUGUAGCAUUUUGAAAUAAUGCCAAUUGUAAAUAGUUGUUAAUCAAUGUUUGAGAUUUUUUCCAUACAUAUGCUGCCAUGAAGCUUUCUUAAUAUAAGAGAGAGGCGGAGGGACUGAAAAAAAAAACAGAGUAGAAAAGUUAUGACCUUAGACAUUUCAUUAGAUCUACGUAUUGCAAAACAACUCUUUGAUUUUCCAUACACAAUUUUUUGUGGAUUUAUACUAUUUGGAGAUGAUCAAUGAUUUUGCCAGAAUCUCGAGAAGCUUCUUGAAUGUUUUCUCAUAUUGCUACUUGAAUAUGGCAAUCACUUGAAAAGGUUAUAUAUAUGUGGAGCAUCAAUAUAAUGAUUAAAAUUAUAAUCAUCGCAUGUACUAAUGUCUAACACACGCAUUGUUUUUCUUUAGUUUUCUACAACACUUAUGAAAUAAGUUUAUGAUCCUUCUCAUUUGACGAUUUAAAAGCCAACUACGACAGGAGAGAUCUUAAGUUGCAACUAAUUAUGAAGUUCAACUCAUUCAUACUGUUUCAAUCAAUUUUGGUCUACAAUAACAAUGAUUCUCUAAAAAUUAAACAACGGCCAAAGCGUGAAACGGAUAACAAAACUUAAACCUUUUUUUUUUCAUUGACAAAACUUAAACCUAAAAACAUCACAAGAUGGUCUAACCCACCCAGGUAGGGUGAAUGGGUGAUAAUUUACAAACGUCCAUAUGAAAAUUACGUAUAAAAAAAAACAACUUAAAUCUAACGCGUCUUUAUCCCAAAAUUUAAAACGUAACUUGCACAGAAUUUUUAGCAAAAAAUACCAAAUAAUUUCCAAAAAAAACGAGAAUAUAAUUGUGGAAAAUUAAAAAAAAAACUACUACUUGAUUAAAUAAAAUAAUAAUAAACAGAGUGGUUUAAUCGUUUGAUCUAAGAUAACAACACAUAAAAUGCACUAACACUAUUAAGUUCUGACCCGUUUCACUUAUCUAAUGGUUUAAGUUAAUAGCCAAAACACUUAAAAACACAUACACGUUACAAGUAAUUACGGAAAAUUAACUCAGUCAAUAAUCACUGACAAGAACACUACCAUGCAUAAGUUGAAACAUUUAAUACAAUUGCAAAUUCCACAAAAAUAUAAAUUAGACCCUCCUGCUAGAAUAAAAAAACUCAUUAUCAAUACAAAAUUCCAAGAUGAACGGAGCUCACCCACUAUCAACACUCGAAGAACUCCCUCAAGACAUCCAAGGCGAUAUCAUCUCAAGAGUUGCACAGUCAUUAAGAACUACCGCACGUCAUGUCAUGCAAUCAUGCCCACUACUGGCCAAAGAAGCUAAAGACAACCGUAUUUACAAGAAUAUAUGACCAUCAAACUAUUAUCCAUCCAUCCAGUUGCUUCUUUGACAAGGUAUAACGAUCUCAUGUCAAAAUUUUUUUUUUCAGCUGAAAACAUAGAAGUUCAUUAUGAUAAAGGCAUUGAAGAAUAUUUUUUUAAAAACAAUCCCAAGCCGGCCUCCAUCAUCUACAAACAUCAGCAGACGUUUUGUACAUAGAUAUGCAAUUUACCUAUACGGUCUAACAAUGCUUUGCACGGGUGAGAAAAAUGUUGAUGAAACCUAUAUUAAUAAAAUUGGUUGGAAGCAAGACCAUAAAUUUGACGAUCAGUGUUCGAAUCGCUUUAAGAAAUUAUUACAAUGACAUUAAGAAAUUAGUACAUGGAGUUCGUGUUAAAAAACUCAAGUCUAUUAGACAAAAAAAAAACUCAAGUGUUACUCAACCACUUUAAAAGCAACGAAAGC